rnacentral:rRNA from 1 species
CGUGCGAUACAGGGUGACAGCCCCGUACACAAAAAUGCACAUAUUGUGAGCUCGAUGAGUAGGGCGGGACACGUGGUAUCCUGUCUGAAUAUGGGGGGACCAUCCUCCAAGGCUAAAUACUCCUGACUGACCGAUAGUGAACCAGUACCGUGAGGGAAAGGCGAAAAGAACCCCGGCGAGGGGAGUGAAAAAGAACCUGAAACCGUGUACGUACAAGCAGUGGGAGCACGCUUAGGCGUGUGACUGCGUACCUUUUGUAUAAUGGGUCAGCGACUUAUAUUCUGUAGCAAGGUUAACCGAAUAGGGGAGCCGAAGGGAAACCGAGUCUUAACUGGGCGUUAAGUUGCAGGGUAUAGACCCGAAACCCGGUGAUCUAGCCAUGGGCAGGUUGAAGGUUGGGUAACACUAACUGGAGGACCGAACCGACUAAUGUUGAAAAAUUAGCGGAUGACUUGUGGCUGGGGGUGAAAGGCCAAUCAAACCGGGAGAUAGCUGGUUCUCCCCGAAAGCUAUUUAGGUAGCGCCUCGUGAAUUCAUCUCCGGGGGUAGAGCACUGUUUCGGCAAGGGGGUCAUCCCGACUUACCAACCCGAUGCAAACUGCGAAUACCGGAGAAUGUUAUCACGGGAGACACACGGCGGGUGCUAACGUCCGUCGUGAAGAGGGAAACAACCCAGACCGCCAGCUAAGGUCCCAAAGUCAUGGUUAAGUGGGAAACGAUGUGGGAAGGCCCAGACAGCCAGGAUGUUGGCUUAGAAGCAGCCAUCAUUUAAAGAAAGCGUAAUAGCUCACUGGUCGAGUCGGCCUGCGCGGAAGAUGUAACGGGGCUAAACCAUGCACCGAAGCUGCGGCAGCGACGCUUAUGCGUUGUUGGGUAGGGGAGCGUUCUGUAAGCCUGCGAAGGUGUGCUGUGAGGCAUGCUGGAGGUAUCAGAAGUGCGAAUGCUGACAUAAGUAACGAUAAAGCGGGUGAAAAGCCCGCUCGCCGGAAGACCAAGGGUUCCUGUCCAACGUUAAUCGGGGCAGGGUGAGUCGACCCCUAAGGCGAGGCCGAAAGGCGUAGUCGAUGGGAAACAGGUUAAUAUUCCUGUACUUGGUGUUACUGCGAAGGGGGGACGGAGAAGGCUAUGUUGGCCGGGCGACGGUUGUCCCGGUUUAAGCGUGUAGGCUGGUUUUCCAGGCAAAUCCGGAAAAUCAAGGCUGAGGCGUGAUGACGAGGCACUACGGUGCUGAAGCAACAAAUGCCCUGCUUCCAGGAAAAGCCUCUAAGCAUCAGGUAACAUCAAAUCGUACCCCAAACCGACACAGGUGGUCAGGUAGAGAAUACCAAGGCGCUUGAGAGAACUCGGGUGAAGGAACUAGGCAAAAUGGUGCCGUAACU